CCUACGGGGGGCAGCAGUGGGGAAUAUUGGACAAUGGGGGGAACCCUGAUCCAGCCAUGCCGCGUGUGUGAAGAAGGCCCUCGGGUUGUAAAGCACUUUCAGUGAGGAAGAACGCCUGGUGGUUAAUACCCAUCAGGAAAGACAUCACUCACAGAAGAAGCACCGGCUAACUCCGUGCCAGCAGCCGCGGUAAUACGGAGGGUGCGAGCGUUGAUCGGAAUUACUGGGCGUAAAGCGCGCGUAGGUGGCUUGAUAAGCCGGUUGUGAAAGCCCCGGGCUCAACCUGGGAACGGCAUCCGGAACUGUCAAGCUAGAGUGCAGGAGAGGAAGGUAGAAUUCCCGGUGUAGCGGUGAAAUGCGUAGAGAUCGGGAGGAAUACCAGUGGCGAAGGCGGCCUUCUGGACUGACACUGACACUGAGGUGCGAAAGCGUGGGUAGCAAACAGGAUUAGAUACCCCGGUAGUC
rnacentral:rRNA from 1 species